GGCGCGGUGGCAGAGUGGUGAUGCAGAGGACUGCAAAUCCUUGUAUGCCGGUUCGAUUCCGGCCCGCGCCUCCA
rnacentral:tRNA from 1 species